rnacentral:rRNA from 1 species
UACGGAGGGGGCUAGCGUUGUUCGGAAUUACUGGGCGUAAAGGGCGCGUAGGCGGCAACUCAAGUCAUCUGUGAAAUCUCCGGGCUUAACUCGGAACGGUCAGAUGAUACUGUUUUGCUAGAGUGCAGAAGGGGCAAUCGGAAUUCUUGGUGUAGCGGUGAAAUGCGUAGAUAUCGAGAGGAACACCUGCGGCGAAGGCGGGUUGCUGGGCUGAUACUGACGCUGAGGCGCGAAAGCCAGGGGAGCGAACGGG